AUGAGGACACCUUCACGUACACAUCCAAUCGCUGCUUGCGUUACAGAUUCCAUAUCAACCCGAGUUAAAGAGUUUUCCGCUCGGCUUUCCGCUUCGAGGAGGGCCGUAGCCAGCCAUGAUGCCCAGAAUGGCAUGAUUCUGAAGCCUCACUUCCAUAAGGACUGGCAGCGGCGAGUAGCCACGUGGUUCAACCAGCCUGCACGGAAGAUCCGCAGACGCAAGGCCAGACAAGCCAAAGCCCGCCGCAUUGCCCCGCGCCCUGCGUCGGGACCCAUCCGGCCCAUUGCGCGCUGCCCCACGGUGCGGUAUCACACCAAAGUCCGAGCAGGCAGGGGCUUCAGCCUGGAAGAACUGAGGGUGGCCGGCAUCCACAAUAAGGUGGUGCGGACCAUCGGCAUCUCUGUGGACCCCAGGAGGAGGAACAAAAAUCCACUGAGUCCUUGCAGGCUACGUACAGCGGCUGAAGGAAUAUCGCUCCAAGCUCAUCUUAUUCCCCAGGAAGCCCUCUGCCCCCAAGAAGGGAGACAGCUCUGCUGAAGAACUCAAACUGGCUACUCAGCUGACCGAACCAGUGAUGCCCAUCCGGAAUGUUUACAAGAAGGAGAAAGCCCGGGUCAUCACACAGGAAGAGAAGGACUUUAAGGCAUUUGCCAGUCUCCGCAUGGCCCGUGCCCACGCCCGGCUCUUCGGCAUCCGGGCAAAGAGGGCCAAGGAGGCCGCAGAGCAGGACGUGGAGAAGAAAAAGUAA